ACGCUGAAGGAGGAGCUUGCUCUUCUGGAUGAGUUGCGAACGGGUGAGUAACGCGUAGGUAACCUGCCUGGUAGCGGGGGAUAACUAUUGGAAACGAUAGCUAAUACCGCAUAAGAGUAGAUGUUGCAUGACAUUUACUUAAAAGGUGCAAUUGCAUCACUACCAGAUGGACCUGCGUUGUAUUAGCUAGUUGGUGGGGUAACGGCUCACCAAGGCGACGAUACAUAGCCGACCUGAGAGGGUGAUCGGCCACACUGGGACUGAGACACGGCUCAGACUCCUACGGGAGGCAGCAGUAGGGAAUCUUCGGCAAUGGACGGAAGUCUGACCGAGCAACGCCGCGUGAGUGAAGAAGGUUUUCGGAUCGUAAAGCUCUGUUGUAAGAGAAGAACGAGUGUGAGAGUGGAAAGUUCACACUGUGACGGUAUCUUACCAGAAAGGGACGGCUAACUACGUGCCAGCAGCCGCGGUAAUACGUAGGUCCCGAGCGUUGUCCGGAUUUAUUGGGCGUAAAGCGAGCGCAGGCGGUUAGAUAAGUCUGAAGUUAAAGGCUGUGGCUUAACCAUAGUACGCUUUGGAAACUGUUUAACUUGAGUGCAAGAGGGGAGAGUGGAAUUCCAUGUGUAGCGGUGAAAUGCGUAGAUAUAUGGAGGAACACCGGUGGCGAAAGCGGCUCUCUGGCUUGUAACUGACGCUGAGGCUCGAAAGCGUGGGGAGCAAACAGGAUUAGAUACCCUGGUAGUCCACGCCGUAAACGAUGAGUGCUAGGUGUUAGACCCUUUCCGGGGUUUAGUGCCGUAG
rnacentral:rRNA from 1 species